rnacentral:rRNA from 1 species
AAUCAACGCUGGCGGCGUGCCUCAGACAUGCAAGUCGAACGAUUAAAGCUCUCUUCGGAGAGUGUAUAGAGUGGCGCACGGGUGAGUAACACGUAAGUAAUCUACCUUUGAGUGGGGAAUAACCCGGGGAAACCCGAGCUAAUACCGCAUAAUGCAGCGGCACCGCAAGGUGACAGUUGUUAAAGGAGCAAUCCGCUUAAAGAGGAGCUUGCGGCAGAUUAGCAGUUGGUAAGGUAAUGGCUUGCCAAGGCUUCGAUCUGUAUCCGGCCUGAGAGGGCGGUCGGACACACUGACACUGAAUAACGGGUCAGACUCCUACGGGAGGCAGCAGUCGGGAAUUUUGGGCAAUGGGCGAAAGCCUGACCCAGCAACGCCGCGUGAAGGAUGAAGUAUUUCGGUA